rnacentral:lncRNA from 1 species
GGGUCUCCAAUGGUGAUGGCAACCCCACCCCCCACCUCGAUGGUUGCAUCGACUCCUAGCAGCCUGAGCAUAGCAAGUUCGACGAUGGCGAUCGGCUUGAUGGGAGAAAAAGAGAAGAAGAAAGAGGGGACUUUCCCUUUUUCACUCUCUUCCUCUCUAUCAUGACCACAAGGCUGGCAACUGGUCGUCCAUGGCAGCAUUGUCUCCCCUUAAAGU